GGAAUAUUGGACAAUGGAGGCAACUCUGAUCCAGCCAUCCCGCGUGCAGGAUGACGGCCCUAUGGGUUGUAACCUGCUUUUGUUAGGGACGAACUCCCCGGCUUUAUCCGGGGCUGACGGUCCCUUUCGAAUAAGCAACGGCUAACUCCGAGCCAGCAGCCGCGGUAAUCCGGAGGGUGCAAGCGUUAUCCGGAAUUACUGGGUUUAAAGGGUGCGUAGGCGGCGCAUUAAGUCAGAGUUGAAAGGCCGUGGCUCAACCAUGGAAUUGCCUUUGAUACUGAAGUGCUUGGAUCAGGUUGAGGGCAGCGGAAUGUGGCAUGUAGCGGUGAAAUGCAUAGAUAUGCCAUAGAACACCGAUUGCGAAGGCAGCUGCCUGGGCCUGGAUUGACGCUGAGGCACGAAAGCGUGGGGAGCGAAC
rnacentral:rRNA from 1 species